rnacentral:snRNA from 1 species
CGUUUACUUUGUUGAAUCUU